rnacentral:misc_RNA from 1 species
GUAACAGUAACAGCUCUUCAGCCCUUCCUGAUUCUGGUAGCACUCAUGGCUGCUGUUCUUCACUUGCAGGAAAUUCCAGAUGACGCUGAACUUGCCCACAGUCGCCACCAGAUGCCUCUCCUGCUUACCGUUCUCAGUCACCCAUGAGAAUUGUCCACCCUUGAACUUGUUGUUUGCUCCAGCUAGAUGUGAAUCCACCGGCGUAAGUUUCAACAACCUCGGAGCUGCUAUCCUGUUCCCCAUCCGACCACUGAAACCAGUCUUCUCUUUCCCGUCCUUGUCCUUAAAAAUGGUGCAUAUGAGGAUCAGAUAUGUAUCAGUAGUACCCAAU